UACAGAGGUCCCGAGCGUUUGUUCGGAUUCAUUGGGCGUAAAGGGUGCGUAGGCGGCGGGGCAAGUCUGAUGUGAAAUCCCGGGGGCUCAACCCCCGGAACUGCAUUGGAUACUGCCUUGCUUGAGUACUGGAGAGGGAACUGGAAUUUACGGUGUAGCAGUGAAAUGCGUAGAGAUCGUAAGGAAGGCCAGUGGCGAAGGCGAGUUCCUGGACAGUGACUGACGCUGAGGCACGAAGGCCAGGGGAGCAAACGGG
rnacentral:rRNA from 1 species